rnacentral:rRNA from 1 species
UUUAAUUCGAAGCAACGCGCAGAACCUUACCACCUUUUGACAUGCCUGGACCGCCACGGAGACGUGGCUUUCUCUUCGGAGACUAGGACACAGGUGCUGCAUGGCUGUCGUCAGCUCGUGUCGUGAGAUGUUGGGUUAAGUCCCGCAACGAGCGCAACCCUCGCCAUUAGUUGCCAUCAUUCAGUUGGGAACUCUAAUGGGACUGCCGGUGCUAAGCCGGAGGAAGGUGGGGAUGACGUCAAGUCCUCAUGGCCCUUACAGGGUGGGCUACACACGUGCUACAAUGGCAACUACAGAGGGUUAAUCCUUAAAAGUUGUCUCAGUUCGGAUUGUCCUCUGCAACUCGAGGGCAUGAAGUUGGAAUCGCUAGUAAUCGCGGAUCAGCAUGCCG